GUGCUUGCUUCUACUGCACAUGUGUUCUCAAAUUGGAACAACACAGAGAAGAUUAGCAUAGCCCCUGCCAAAGAAUGAUAUGCAAAUUCGUAAAGUGUUCCACAUUUUU
ensembl:snRNA LOC120093907 U6 spliceosomal RNA